rnacentral:lncRNA from 1 species
ACAGAAGUGAUGAAGAUGCGAUAAAAUGUUGUGAGAUGAUAUCGAACAAAUCCCUAACUAGCCACAAAUCUAAUGCCAAAUAUUAACAUAAAAAAACACAAGUAACAAACGGAUGAUCUUUAUCCUCGAUACACAGUGGCGGAUCUUAGUGGUACCUGCAGGUGCCACUGCAUCCCCUAACUCUACUAUAAUUAUCAUAUUCUGC